GAUGAACGCUGGCGGCGUGCCUAAUACAUGCAAGUCGAGCGAACGGACGAGAAGCUUGCUUCUCUGAUGUUAGCGGCGGACGGGUGAGUAACACGUGGAUAACCUACCUAUAAGACUGGGAUAACUUCGGGAAACCGGAGCCAAUACCGGAUAAUAUUUUGAACCGCAUGGUUCAAAAGUGAAAGACGGUCUUGCUGUCACUUAUAGAUGGAUCCGCGCUGCAUUAGCUAGUUGGUAAGGUAACGGCUUACCAAGGCAACGAUGCAUAGCCGACCUGAGAGGGUGAUCGGCCACACUGGAACUGAGACACGGUCCAGACUCCUACGGGAGGCAGCAGUAGGGAAUCCUCCGCAAUGGGCGAAGGCCUGACGGAGCAACGCCGCGUGAGUGAUGAAGGUCUUCGGAUCGUAAAACUCUGUUAUUAGGGAAGAACAUAUGUGUAAGUAACUGUGCACAUCUUGACGGUACCUAAUCAGAAAGCCACGGCUAACUACGUG
rnacentral:rRNA from 1 species